rnacentral:rRNA from 1 species
AGUGGCAAACGGGUGAGUAACGCGUAGACAACCUGCCGUAAAGAUGGGGACAACAGUCCGAAAGGACUGCUAAUACCGAAUGCUUUACGAUGGGUCUGCGUCUGAUUAGCUAGUUGGUGGGGUAACGGCCUACUAAGGCGACGAUCAGUAGCCGGUCUGAGAGGAUGAACGGCCACAUUGGAACUGAGACACGGUCCAGACUCCUACGGGAGGCAGCAGUGGGGAAUCUUCCGCAAUGGGCGCAAGCCUGACGGAGCAACGCCGCGUGAGUGAAGAAGGGUUUCGACUCGUAAAGCUCUGUUGUCGGGGACGCGGUACCUGACGAGGAAGCCACGGCUAACUACGUGCCAGCAGCCGCGGUAAUACGUAGGUGGCGAGCGUUGUCCGGAAUUAUUGGGCGUAAAGGGAGCGCAGGCGGGAGAUCAAGUCUAUCUUAAAAGUGCGGGGCUCAACCCCGUGAGGGGAUGGAAACUGGUCUUCUUGAGUGCAGGAGAGGAAAGCGGAAUUCCUAGUGUAGCGGUGAAAUGCGUAGAUAUUAGGAGGAACACCAGUGGCGA